AGACGAAGGUGGCGAGCGUUGUUCGGAAUCACUGGGCUUAAAGGGUACGUAGGCGGGCUGUCAAGCGUCAUGGGAAAGCCCUCGGCUCAACCGAGGAAUUGCCUGGCGAACUGAUAGUCUUGAGGCAGGUAGGGGCGAGUGGAACUCUUGGUGGAGCGGUGGAAUGCGUAGAUAUCAAGAGGAACGCCAGAGGCGAAGGCGACUCGCUGGGCCUGACCUGACGCUGAGGUACGAAAGCCAGGGGAGCGAACGGGAUUAGAAACCCGAGUAGUCC
rnacentral:rRNA from 1 species